CCUACGGGAGGCUGCAGUGGGGAAUAUUGGACAAUGGGCGAAAGCCUGAUCCAGCCAUGCCGCGUGUGUGAAGAAGGCCUUCGGGUUGUAAAGCACUUUCAGUGGGGAAGAAAGCCUUGGGGCUAAUACCCUCGAGGAAGGACAUCACCCACAGAAGAAGCACCGGCUAACUCCGUGCCAGCAGCCGCGGUAAUACGGAGGGUGCGAGCGUUAAUCGGAAUUACUGGGCGUAAAGCGCGCGUAGGCGGUCUGAUAAGCCGGUUGUGAAAGCCCCGGGCUCAACCUGGGAACGGCAUCCGGAACUGUCAGGCUAGAGUGCAGGAGAGGAAGGUAGAAUUCCCGGUGUAGCGGUGAAAUGCGUAGAGAUCGGGAGGAAUACCAGUGGCGAAGGCGGCCUUCUGGACUGACACUGACGCUGAGGUGCGAAAGCGUGGGUAGCAAACAGGACUAGAUACCCCGGUAGUC
rnacentral:rRNA from 1 species